GAUUUCUGACUCAGUCAUCGUUGACCGGCCACGGUUUCGUGUGUCGUGUGUUAGCGAUGCUAGUCAUCCUUCCAAUGGCUGUCGAGUGUCUCUUCAUUGAUUCGCUCUGGCGGUAUUGGAUCUUUUACUUUGAAAAAAUUAGAGUGUUUCAAGCAGGCUUUUAUGCUAUGAAUACAUUAGCAUGGAAUAAUAAUUUAGGACUUCGGUUCUAUUUUGUUGGUUUCUAGGACUGAAGUAAUGAUUGAUAGGGAUAGUUGGGGGUGCUAGUAUUCAGCGGCCAGAGGUGAAAUUCUUGGAUUCGCUGAAGACUAACUUAUGCGAAAGCAUU
rnacentral:rRNA from 1 species